ACAGACUAUAGCCGACGAAAAAAAUUAAUUCAGCCGAUGAAAUAUUACUUUCGUCGGCUAAAGUUGACCAUAGCCGACGAAAAUUUUAAAUUAGCCGACGAAAAAAAAUUCGUCGGCUAAAGUGGACUUUAGCCGACGAAAAAAAAAUUCGUCGGCCUGGUUUUUUUAUUUUCGUCGGCUAAAGCCUUUCUUCUGGUAGUGUUUAGCUGUAUUGUUUCGGUACUAUUAAUUAGAUGGUCGAAAAUAUUUUUCUGAUAAUAAAAAAAAUAUUUAAGAAAUAAGGAUAAAGCGCAGAAGCUUCGAGGUUUUUCGGAUGGAAAAUAGAAGCCACAGAACCUGAAGACGAUCCAGCCACAGUUCAACACAAGACCGGGCACCGCUGCUUUAUUUCUGGAUGUCGCCUUCAAGCUCUAUGUAUCUUGACCAGUCCUCAAGCUUGGAGAGAGAACCGUGGGUGAGAAGAGUGGGUUGUGGGGGGUCUAUUGGAGGUAGUAGAGAGUCUGUCGGGAGCCUAUUGAGGGCAGUAGAGGAUCUAUUAGGGGCAAUAUGAGGUGAUUUGAACUCUUAAUAGACCCCAUAUUACCAUGAAUAGUCAUACAUAUUGCCCCAAUAGAUUUAACACUAAAAGAAAAACAAACACAUAGCAUCACACCACACUCGAUUUAAGAAGACAAUAAACUUAAUUAAGAAGACUAUAAAGCAUAUAAAAAUGAGAGCAUCUUAAGCACAUACUACCAGAAGAAAGACUUUAGCCGACGAAAAUAAAAAACCAGGCCGACGAAUUAUUUUUUCGUCGGCUAAUUAAAAAUUUUCGUCGGCUAUGGUCAACUUUAGUCGACAAAAUUAAAAUUUCGUCGUCUGAAUAAUUUUUUUCGUCGGCUAUAGCCUGUGAACUUUAGCCGAUGAAAUUUUUAAAAGUUUAGCCGAUGAAAAAUAUAAUUUCGUCGGCUAAAGUGCCUUAUGCAGAUCUGGACAACAACUCAUCUGGGAAAAAAAACUAUACGUAGAACCUUUAAACGCAAAAAAGUCGUGAAAUAAUAUAUGAACAGAAUGGUGAAAUACGUCUACGG
rnacentral:lncRNA from 1 species